CAGUCGCCACGGGAAUACGAAGGGUGCAAGCGUUAAUCGGAAUUACUGGGCGUAAAGCGUGCGUAGGUGGUGGUUUAAGUCCGUUGUGAAAGCCCUGGGCUCAACCUGGGAAUUGCAGUGGAUACUGGGUCACUAGAGUGUGGUAGAGGAUAGUGGAAUUUCCGGUGUAGCAGUGAAAUGCGUAGAGAUCGGAAGGAACGUCUGUGGCGAAGGCGGCCAUCUGGGACAACACUGACGCUGAGGCACGAAAGCGUGGGGAGCAAACAGGAUUAGAUACCCCCGUAGUCCCUGUCUCUUAUAC
rnacentral:rRNA from 1 species